ACUCCUACGGGAGGCAGCAGUGGGGAAUAUUGGACUAUGGGCGAAAGCCUGAUCCAGCCAUGCCGCGUGUGUGAAGAAGGUCUUCGGAUUGUAAAGCACUUUAAGUUGGGAGGAAGGGCAGUUACCUAAUACGUGAUUGUUUUGACGUUACCGACAGAAUAAGCACCGGCUAACUCUGUGCCAGCAGCCGCGGUAAU
rnacentral:rRNA from 1 species